GCGUGUGUGAAGAAGGCCUUCGGGUUGUAAAGCACUUUUGUCAGGAACGAAAAUGUCCGUGCUAAUACCAUGGGCUCAUGACGGUACCUGAAGAAUAAGCACCGGCUAACUACGUGCCAGCAGCCGCGGUAAGACGUAGGGUGCAAGCGUUAAUCGGAAUUACUGGGCGUAAAGCGUGCGCAGGCGGCUUUGUAAGACAGAUGUGAAAUCCCCGGGCUUAACCUGGGAACUGCAUUUGUGACUGCAAGGCUAGAGUGCGUCAGAGGGAGGUGGAAUUCCGCGUGUAGCAGUGAAAUGCGU
rnacentral:rRNA from 1 species